UGGGGAAUAUUGGACAAUGGGCGCAAGCCUGAUCCAGCCAUGCCGCGUGAGUGACGAAGGCCUUAGGGUUGUAAAGCUCUUUUGCCGAGGACGAUAAUGACGGUACUCGGAGAAGAAGCUCCGGCUAACUUCGUGCCAGCAGCCGCGGUAAUACGAAGGGGGCUAGCGUUGUUCGGAUUUACUGGGCGUAAAGCGCGUGUAGGCGGGUCGUUAAGUUGGGGGUGAAAUCCCGAGGCUCAACCUCGGAACUGCCUUCAAAACUGGCGACCUGGACCUAAGUAGAGGCAAGUGGAAUUGCGAGUGUAGAGGUGAAAUUCGUAGAUAUUCGCAGGAACACCAGUGGCGAAGGCGACUUGCUGGACUUAUGGUGACGCUGAGACGCGAAAGCGUGGGGAGCAAACAGGAUUAGAUACCCCCGUAGUCCCUGAGCGGGCUGGCAAGGCGCAU
rnacentral:rRNA from 1 species